GCUUCCUUCUCUUCUGCAUGUCGGACACGACGAGAACCUGAGCCGCUGUGGAAAGACACGAGCUGGCAGCCGCGUGAGCGGAAACCCCGGAGAAAAAUGGCUCUGGUAUCGACAGGACUGGGUCAGGAGACGUACUGUACUGAUGACACAGAAUCACCUUUGAAUGGUUCCACCUGUGGACCGGAGGACGCGUCCUUCCUUUUGGGUAGAUGCUGUGUGAGCUGUCAGCCUAACCGCACCCUGCAGAGCAGCCAUCAAACACAACUUACAACUGGCUGCCAUUUUUACAAUCUGCUCUGAAGUCUCUACACAUUGUCCCGACAGACACAAGGCCGCUGAGCCGUGCCUGGUUUACCAAAAGCAUCUUACUGCCAAAAUCAUCUUUUCCUCCACAAACCGAGACUGACAGAGAGGAGAGAUUGGCCGUGUCCUGUCUCGAGCCCAUGAACAGGAACCGUGUGAAUUCUAAGUUGCUUUAGACAAAUUGGGUGGUGGGCACUCGAGCAUAUCAGACCUUACUACAAUCCCGGUGUCCCAAUAGACCGUAAUACAUCGACACCAGCGGUUUUCCUCCCUUGGGGAACUGCAAGAACUGCAGAUGUUACUUUUCUAUGAUAACUAACAACCACUGAUCUAUACUAUCAAGAAGAAACUUGUUUCCACUACAUUUUCUCCGUAAGCAAGGGGUCUCCCUCGCGCGGUGGGAGGUGUUUCAGUUUUUCAUUUUGGUCUUCAUUUUCUUAGUUCAUUGAACACGCAGUCUGUAUGAUACUACGUGAACCUCCUCUUCUCUUCCUCCCCCUCAAACCAAGCCCUUGUUGGGUACGUGUAAAUCGUUAAUGAAUCUUUGCAUUCACAACAUGAUGGCGGACUUUUGAAGUAGAAGCAAAGAUUAUGCUGUCUCAAGCUCCCCUUUCCAUUCUCCCUGCACCUUCGAGCCCGUUGAUUCUUUCCUCAAAUAACUCCACUAUCAAUCCAUGUGCACCCAUCAAUUAAGAAAAGGUUUGUGGAGGCUUCCAUUUAGCUGCCAGCAUCCUUUUUUGCAUCCUGAUGUUCUCUGAGACAUGUUUUAGGUCAAAUUAAACCAUCACUUGAUAACAUUAUUUGUGCAGAAGAAACAACUAUGGUCUUUUUUAUAUUAUUGGCGUAGUUCUAUUUAUCGGUUUUAUUUACCCAUGAGGGUUAGAGAUACAUCUGUCACUGAGAUUAUUCCAACACACAUGAGAUGAAUAUCAUUUAAUUUCUGUUGAUCUAAUCUUUGGAAAAAUACACUUCACCUCCAGUAAAAAAAAUAUAGUAUGCAAUAUUACUUCAGUUGGAAAUGCACUGUUUUCACAUUCAUAUGCUGAAGGCAAAGCGUGUCUGUGAUCACUUUAAUCUGCUGCAUACGCAGCGUAGCGCAUGAUUUUGUGGCGCCAUCGUUUGGAAGUGAGUCUUUGCAGCUUUCACGCUUGCAAUGUGGGGACUUUGAACCUCCGGUGCACACCCUAACCGCUUGUGUUCAAUAGACAAAACCUUUUAGAGAUGAGAGAUUCUGGAUUUUUCAAUGUGGCUGGAGGAGCAGAUUACAUUUUAAGAUCCUAUCAGACUCAAACUAUAUUUCAAAGCGCUUAAAGUAUUUUUCUUGUAGUUCUCCUUUUAUAUCUUAAAAUGUCAACAUUUAGAUGGGAUGUUAAUACAAAUCUGCAGUAACAGUUAUUUCUAGAGUCAGUCUCUCUGUGGAUGACCACCUGUCAGCAUGUUUUUAUGAGAUGUUUCCUUUUAAGAAUGUAGUUAAAAGGAAAACUAUUGACCUUGAGCUAUAUGCAUAUCCAAAGAUAUAGCUCCUAAAUUUCAGAUUUUAAAGCUGCAAACCUGACUAUAUAAAUGACCAUAGUCUCUAUUUUAAUAGCUUAAUGGUUGUUUAUUGACUGAUUAUGUAGAGGAUCAGUCUAAUAAAGGAACUGUCUUUGUCUUUCUAAGUAGAAGAUGUGAUGCUUGCGAUUGCUGUGUUUUAGACCUUUCCUAUUGUGCACUUGAUAUCAAAUAAAUACAUUUAUUUCCAA